rnacentral:rRNA from 1 species
UACGGGGGGUGCGAGCGUUGUCCGGAAUCACUGGGCGUAAAGGGCGCGUAGGUGGCGGGACAAGCGUGCGGUGAAAGCUCGGGGCUCAACCCCGAGUCGGCCGUGCGAACUGUUUUGCUUGAGCACUGUAGAGGCAGGCGGAAUUCCGGGUGUAGCGGUGGAAUGCGUAGAGAUCCGGAAGAACACCGGUGGCGAAGGCGGCCUGCUGGGCAGUAGCUGACACUGAGGCGCGACAGCGUGGGGAGCAAACAGG